AUUGAACGCUGGCGGCAGGCUUAACACAUGCAAGUCGAGCGGGGUGAUGGUGCUUGCACUAUCACUUAGCGGCGGACGGGUGAGUAAUGCUUAGGAAUCUGCCUAUUAGUGGGGGACAACAUCUCGAAAGGGAUGCUAAUACCGCAUACGUCCUACGGGAGAAAGCAGGGGAUCACUUGUGACCUUGCGCUAAUAGAUGAGCCUAAGUCGGAUUAGCUAGUUGGUGGGGUAAAGGCCUACCAAGGCGACGAUCUGUAGCGGGUCUGAGAGGAUGAUCCGCCACACUGGGACUGAGACACGGCCCAGACUCCUACGGGAGGCAGCAGUGGGGAAUAUUGGACGAUGGGGGGAACCCUGAUCCAGCCAUGCCGCGUGUGUGAAGAAGGCCUUAUGGUUGUAAAGCACGUUAAGCGAGGAGGAGGCUCUUUUGGUUAAUACCCAAGAUGAGUGGACGUUACUCGCAGAAUAAGCACCGGCUAACUCUGUGCCAGCCGCCGCGGUAA
rnacentral:rRNA from 1 species